rnacentral:tRNA from 1 species
UGCGGAAUGGUUUAAUGGUAGCAAUACAGUCUCUGAAUCUGUCUGUUGGGGUUCGAGUCCCUGUUCCGCAGCCA